GAUGUUGGGUUAAGUCCCGCAACGAGCGCAACCCUUGUCAUUAGUUGCUACAUUCAGUUGGGCACUCUAAUGAGACUGCCGGUGACAAACCGGAGGAAGGUGGGGAUGACGUCAAGUCCUCAUGGCCCUUAUAGGUGGGGCUACACACGUCAUACAAUGGAUGGUACAAAGGGUCGCCAACCCGCGAGGGGGAGCCAAUCCCAUAAAGCCAUUCGUAGUCCGGAUCGCAGUCUGCAACUCGACUGCGUGAAGUCGGAAUCGCUAGUAAUCGUGGAUCAGAAUGUCACGGUGAAUACGUUCCCGGGUCUU
rnacentral:rRNA from 1 species